UACGGGGGGAGCAAGCGUUGUUCGGAUUUACUGGGCGUAAAGGGCGCGUAGGCGGCCAGCACAGGUCAGUUGUGAAAUCUCCGAGCUUAACUCGGAAAGGUCAACUGAUACUGUGCGGCUAGAGUGCGGAAGGGGCAACUGGAAUUCUUGGUGUAGCGGUGAAAUGCGCAGAUAUCAGGAGGAACACCGGUGGCGAGGGCGGGUCUCUGGGCCGAUACUGACGCUGAGGAGCGAAAGCGUGGGGAGCGAACAGG
rnacentral:rRNA from 1 species